CCGUAGAGUUAUAAGCUAAAUAGCACUGUUAUGAUAUAUACAGAAUAAUAUAGUGAGACUAUGUCUCACCGUCUACGAGGAACUGUCAACUGCUGUGCGAGGACCAAGGGACCGAAAUGGUGAAUGCCUGAGACGUCCUCGGU